CCACGUCGGGCUAGAUCACCCG
rnacentral:rRNA from 1 species